GGAGUUUGAUCAUGGCUCAGGAUGAACGCUAGCUACAGGCUUAACACAUGCAAGUCGAGGGGAAACGACAUCGAAAGCUUGCUUUUGAUGGGCGUCGACCGGCGCACGGGUGAGUAACGCGUAUCCAACCUGCCCACCACUUGGGGAUAACCUUGCGAAAGUAAGACUAAUACCCAAUGACGUCUCUAGAAGACAUCUGAAGGAGAUUAAAGAUUUAUCGGUGAUGGAUGGGGGAUGCGUCUGAUUAGCUUGUUGGCGGGGUAACGGCCACCAAGGCGACGAUCAGUAGGGGUUCUGAGAGGAAGGUCCCCCACAUUGGAACUGAGACACGGUCCAAAUUCCUACGGGAGGCA
rnacentral:rRNA from 1 species